GAAACGACUGCUAAGACUGGAUAGGAGACAAGAAGGCAUCUUCUUGUUUUUAAAAGACCUAGCAAUAGGUAUGCUUAGGGAGGAGCUUGCGUCACAUUAGUUAGUUGGUGGGGUAAAGGCCUACCAAGACUAUGAUGUGUAGCCGGGCUGAGAGGUUGAACGGCCACAUUGGGACUGAGACACGGCCCAAACUCCUACGGGAGGCAGCAGUAGGGAAUUUUCGGCAAUGGAGGAAACUCUGACCGAGCAACGCCGCGUGAACGAUGAAGUAUUUCGGUACGUAAAGUUCUUUUAUUAGGGAAGAAUAAAUGAUGGAAAAAUCAUUCUGACGGUACCUAAUGAAUAAGCCCCGGCUAACUAUGUGCCAGCAGCCGCGGUAAUACAUAGGGGGCAAGCGUUAUCCGGAAUUAUUGGGCGUAAAGGGUGCGUAGGCGGUUAAAUAAGUUUAUGGUCUAAGUGCAAUGCUCAACAUUGUGAUGCUAUAAAAACUGUUUAGCUAGAGUAAGAUAGAGGCAAGUGGAAUUCCAUGUGUAGUGGUAAAAUGCGUAAAUAUAUGGAGGAACACCAGUAGCGAAGGCGGCUUGCUGGGUCUUUACUGACGCUGAGGCACGAAAGCGUGGGGAGCAAACAGGAUUAGAUACCCUGGUAGUCCACGCCGUAAACGAUGAGCACUAAACGUUGGGUAAAACCAGUGUUGAAGUUAACACAUUAAGUACUCCGCCUGAGUGGUACGUACGCAAGUAUGAAACUUAAAGGAAUUGACGGGACUCCGCACAAGCGGUGGAUCAUGUUGUUUAAUUCGAAGGUACCCGAAAAACCUUACCAGGUCUUGACAUGCUUCUGCAAAGCUGUAGAAACACAGUGGAGGUUAUCAGUUGCACAGGUGGUGCAUGGUUGUCGUCAGCUCGUGUCGUGAGAUGUUGGGUUAAGUCCCGCAACGAGCGCAACCCUUAUUGUUAGUUACCAGCACGUAAUGGUGGGGACUUUAGCAAGACUGCCAGUGAUAAAUUGGAGGAAGGUGGGGACGACGUCAAAUCAUCAUGCCCCUUAUGACCUGGGCUACAAACGUGAUACAAUGGCUGUUACAAAGGGUAGCUGAAGCGCAAGUUUUUGGCGAAUCUCAAAAAAACAGUCUCAGUUCGGAUUGAAGUCUGCAAUUCGACUUCAUGAAGUUGGAAUCGCUAGUAAUCGCGAAUCAGCAUGUCGCGGUGAAUACGUUCGCGGGGUUUGUACACACCGCCCGUCA
rnacentral:rRNA from 1 species